AUGUCCAUUUUGCAUCAUGCUUUUAUAUCAAUAUUUAUUGCAUUAUGGGCUGUUAUUACACAUUAUAUCUCAAUACUUAUGGCUAUUCUAUCUUAUUUUACAAGGUUUACCAUGAAGAGGGGGAAUGCCGGCAGCUGGAAUUCUGGUAGGAAAAUGAGCAAACAUUGGAAACCUAUUCUGCACAGCUCCAAAAAUCCUGAAACUCCACGAAAUAUAUUUUUGGAAUUUAUAAGAAUUAUUGAGCGAAAGAAACACGUCAGGGGGCCCACACCCUGGCCAGGAGGGUGGGGGUGCGCCCACCCCUACUGGGCGCGCCCCCUGUCUCCUGGGGCCCCUGGUGGCCCUCUGGUGUCCAUCUUCUGCUAUAUGAAGGCUUUUACCCUGGAAAAAAUCGUGGGCAAGCUUACGGGACGAAACUCCGCCGCCACGAGGUGGAACCUUGGCGGAACCAAUCUAGAGCUCCGGCAGAGCUGUUCCGCCGGGGAAACUUCCCUCUGGGAGGGGGAAAUCAUCACCAUCGUCAUCACCAACGAUCCUCUCAUCGGGAAGGGGUUAAUCUCCAUCAACAUCUUCACCAGCACCAUCUCCUCUCAAAACCCUAGUUCAUCUCUUGCAUCCAAUCUUGUAUCAAACCACAAAUUGGUACCUGUGGGUUGCUAG
rnacentral:rRNA from 1 species